rnacentral:rRNA from 1 species
UGCAGUCGAGCGGCAGCGCAGGGGUGCUUGCACCCCGGGCGGCGAGCGGCGGACGGGUGAGUAAUGCAUGGGAAUAUGCCCGACAGAGGGGGAUAACCUUGGGAAACCAAGGCUAAUACCGCAUACGCUCUACGGAGGAAAGCGGGGGAUCUUCGGACCUCGCACUGACGGAGUAGCCCAUGACCGAUUAGCUUGUUGGGGUGGUAACGGCACACCAAGGCGAUGAUCGGUAGCUGGUCUGAGAGGAUGAUCAGCCACACCGGGACUGAGACACGGCCCGGACUCCUACGGGAGGCAGCAGUGGGGAAUAUUGGACAAUGGGGGCAACCCUGAUCCAGCGAUGCCGCGUGAGUGAAGAAGGCCUUCGGGUUGUAAAGCUCUUUCGCGGGGGAAGAAACGGCAGCGGUUAACAACCGCUUGUUACUGACGGUACCCCGACAAGAAGCACCGGCUAACUACGUGCCAGCAGCCGCGGUAAUACGUAGGGUGCGAGCGUUAAUCGGAAUUACUGGCGUAAAGCGUGCGUAGGCGGCCUUGCAAGUCAGAUGUGAAAGCCCCGGGCUUAACCUGGGAACGGCGUUUGAAACUGCGAGGCUGGAGUACGGCAGGGGAAGAUGGAAUUCCAUGUGUAGCGGUGAAAUGCGUAUAUAUAUGGAAGAACACUAAUGGCGAAGGCAUUCUUCUGGGUCGUUACUGACGCUGAGUCACCAAAGCGUGGGGAGCAAACAGGAUUAGAUACCCUGGUAGUCCACGCCCUAAACGAUGUCCGCUAGCUAUUGGGCUUUUGGUUCAGUGGCGAAGCUAACGCGCUAAGCGGACCGCCUGGGGAGUACGGUCGCAAGAUUAAAACUCAAAGGUAUUGACAGGGCACCCGCACAAGCG